rnacentral:sRNA from 1 species
GCCAGGCAUGGUGGUGGACACCUGUAAUCCCAGAGACUCGGGAGGCUGAGGCAGGAGGAUCAUAAAUUCAAGGUCAGCUCAACAACUUAGUGAGACCCUGUCUUUA